UGGGGAAUAUUGGACAAUGGGGGAAACCCUGAUCCAGCAAUGCCGCGUGAGUGAAGAAGGCCUUAGGGUUGUAAAGCUCUUUCGCCCGAGACGAUGAUGACGGUAUCGGGAGAAGAAGCCCCGGCUAAUUCCGUGCCAGCAGCCGCGGUAAUACGGAAGGGGCUAGCGUUGUUCGGAUUUACUGGGCGUAAAGCGCGCGUAGGCGGCUGACCAAGUGAGGCGUGAAAGCCCCGGGCUCAACCUGGGAACCGCGCUUCAGACUGGUCGGCUCGAGUCCGGGAGAGGGUGGUGGAAUUCCCAGUGUAGAGGUGAAAUUCGUAGAUAUUGGGAAGAACACCGGUGGCGAAGGCGGCCACCUGGCCCGGUACUGACGCUACAGCGCGAAAGCGUGGGGAGCAAACAGG
rnacentral:rRNA from 1 species